rnacentral:lncRNA from 1 species
UGUGUGUCUGUGUGUGUGUGUGUGUCUGUGUGUGUGUAUCCUGCAGUACUCUGUACUCCUGCAGUGGCCAAAACGACUUUUAAGAAUGUGGAUAUUUGGGUCAUCUUUGGCGCCCCCUAGAACGUAAACCAUGGGGUGCAGCGGCAUGAUUUUUACAACUUUGAAUGGCCAUGGGGUGUAGAUUGGCCUGAGCAAAUUUGGUGUCAGUGGGACGAAAGCCUUAGGAGGAGUUAGCCACAUUCCAAUGUGUGCGAAUCGGCAAAAAAUGCAAAAUAGCCGUUUAGCCGUACAUUUUACAGAUACGCGCGCAUUGACUUUUUCGUAGAUCUUAUUCAGAUACACGUGUGUGUCAAAUUUUUUGUCAAUAUGACAAAGCGUACAGGCGUGAAUCUCAACAAUGUGUAUUUUCACCUUAGGGGACAAGAAAAAAUUGACUUUUUUGUCCUGCCAUGGGGGGGCGCUCUUUUGGGGAGUAAAAAUUCCUUCACAAAUGUGUUGAUGGCUGGACAUUGCAUCAUCCUAGAAAACUUGGAGGCCAGUGGGGACAAAAAUAAAAAGUUAUAAAACUUUUAAGAAUGUGGAUUUUUGGGUUAUUUUUGGCGCCCCCUAGAACCUAAACCAUGGGGUGCAGCAUCAUGAUUUGUACAACUUUGAAUGGCCAUGGAGUGUAGAUUGGCCUGAGCAAAUGUGGUGCCGGUGGAACGAAAGCCUUCGGAGGAGUUAGCGAAAUUCCAAUGUGUGCGGAUCGGCAAAAAAUGCGAAAUAACCCUUUAACCGUACAUUUGACAGAUACGCCCGCACUGACUUUCUUGUAGAUCUUAUUGAGAUACAUGUGUGUGUCAAUUUUUGUGUCAAUAUGACAAAGCGUACAGGCGUGACAGUCAAUAGUGUGAAUUUUCACCUUAGGGGGCGCUAUGGAGCCAUUUUGCAUUUGAUUGUUUGGGUGACUUCAGAAUAUCGAAUUUUUCACCAGGCCCGGUCGUCCUGCCAAAUUUCAUGAGUUUUCGCCAGUGGGAAGUGGGCCAUUUUCCAGUUUAAAGCGGAGGAAAAAUAAUAAUAAUAAUUAUAACUAGGACCCCGUUGGGGCACUGGCGGGCCCGAGCCGUGUCCCCCCCCCCCCCCCCAACGUGCUGCCUCCCCGUCCCAUUUGUGUCCUCUGGCCAUCGCCCUCUCUGGUAACGCCCAUCACUGCAAAGACCCUUUUCCUUCAUCGGCGUUUGCUGUUCUUCCUGCCAGUGCGUGUUGCUUUCACUUACACUUGCCACAGCCAGCCUCGUGAGUGCCUGGCCUAUUCGAUAUCACUGUCACCUACACAGGACAGUCAUUACCUUUCUAUUAAUACUUUGUUUUUUAAUUUCACAUUAAUUUCCAUAUUGUAUAAACGACUGGAAAAAACUUGAGCCCCUGCCCCUGUAUAAUCAUGUGCAUGUCUCUGUUCUAGCUCCAAGGUGAAUCUUCACUGCUCAUGUUCUCCUCAGAAGCACUCACCUCACUCCCCUCAGGUUACUGUACACAUGCACCAACUGCCUGCUUCAGGUUUGGAUGGAGCUUCAUGGUUGUCUUUUGGAGAAAUGACCAGUCAAGUUGUGUUUGAAAUUUGAUUUUUUUCAGGGGCAAAAGGAGCCUCUGCAUUCUUGUCAAAUAUGUAAAUAGCAUGUUUUUGCAGGUGCUAAAAACCAGACUCUGAGUGUGUGUGUGUGUGUGUGUGUGUGUGUGUGUGCGUGUGUGUGUGUCUGUGUGUGCGUUCAAGUCACAUGACAUAUUUAACCGGAUGUAGCUGCAAGACGGAGCCUCGUUGACUCUCCGUUUCAACUUAUCUCAAAAGUGAGGACCUCAACCUAUAUACCAGUUUUUAAAUUGUGUUGAUAGGCCAAAUAAAACCAGAGUUAUGAUAAAUUAUGUCCGCGAUACUUUUUUUCUGCUUAUUUUGAUCACGUUCGGCGCUCGAUCGCGCUGUAUGAGACAGGAAAACAUAGCAUGCAGACAUUAGAGACAGGUCUUACAGGCGGAAAAGGCUUGCCAAAAGAAAAAAAAAACACACCACAACAUCUCUCCUAUUGGUGGAAAACUUCACCACAACAACCAAUCCAAAAUUAUAUGGUGACUGAUUGACAAGGGGCGGGUGCUUACGUUCUUCCUGCAACAUGAGAAGGGAGGGAGGGACUCUCAGCAGGGAUGCAGUCUGGGACACGUAGUUGCAAACCUAGCGACUUUGUUGUUAGAUUCAAUGACUUUUCAGACCCCCUAACGACUUUUUUAGAAAGAAAGUGACUUUUAUCGACUUCUUCUGGAGUUUAGAGACUCUGACAUGAAGCAGGCUUUCCUUACUGAGGAGUUAGCAACGCUGCUAAGGGUGCAGAGCCACACAUGCGCUCCGAGCUCUGCAUGGGAGACUGAAGCUGACAGAGCUGCAGCAGUUAGCAGGUUUCACCCUCAGAGACCACCAGGGGUUCAUGUUGAGGCAUUUUCAGUUUUUUUUUUUUUUUUUGCCAUAGACACUGUCAGCACAAUCUGCAGUUACACUAACAAAAAUGCUGCAAAAAACAAAGAAUUAUGGAAAAAUUACACAUGGACUAACAUAGAGGAGGAUAUACACAAGUUUUUUACAUCAUGUUUUACAUCAUGCAUCAUUUACAUCAUGUUUUUUUGUAGUGGCAUAAAUAAAAAGUGACAUUUGUGAGACUAUACAGUGUUUUGUAAAUAAUUUUACAAAGAACACCUGGGCCAUUGCCUGCAUUUUGAUGUAAAUAGAGGUAAAUUACUAUGUUCUUUGUUAAAAAUUUGCAUAUGUUUUGAAGUUUACAAUUUUUAUUUGAAGUUUAAGUUUUAAAAACAGUUCAUCACACAUAUUUGUGGUUUUCACAGUAAAAACGUUACUUUUUUCCACUCGGAUUUUAUGUUUUGUGUGUGAAUUUGGGUCCAAUGUGUAAAUAUAGUAUGUCAAAAUGAUAAAAUAACUGUAAAUUGACACAGGUGAGGUUGUGCUGAAAAAAAUGAUACCAGGCAAGGCAAGGUAAAAAUUUUGUAAGAGGAAAUAUAAAGGUAAAAUCUAAAGUAGUCAAAAACGGCCAAUAGUGACUCACAGACUCCACAGACAAGUCCCUUUUGCGCCACUCAGUGGGCAAAACUACUUUGUCUACUGUAAUGUAUAUUUGGGUCAUCUUUGGCGCCCCCUAAAACGUAAACCGUGGGGUGCAGCGUCAUGAUUUUUACAACUUUGAAUGGCCAUGGAGUGUAGAUUGGCCUGAGCAAAUUUGGUGUCAGUGGGACGAAAGCCUUAGGAGGAGUUAGCGAAAUUCCAAUGUGUGCGAAUCGGCAAAAAAUGCAAAAUAGCCCUUUUACCGUACAUUAUACAGAUACGCGCUCUUUGACUUUUUCGUAGAUCUAAUUGAGAUACACAUGAUUGUCAAUUUUUGUGUCAUUUUGCCAAAGCGUACAGGCGUGACAGUCAACAAUGUGUAUUUUCACCUUAGGGGACAAGAAAAAAUGGACUUUUUUCUCCUGCCAUGGGGGGGCGCUCUUUUAGGGAGUAAAAAUUCCUUCACAAAUGUGUUGAUGGCUGGACAUUGCAUCAUCCUAGAAAACUUGGAGGCCAGUGAGGACAAAAAUAAAAAGUUAUAAGACUUUUAAAAAUGUGGAUUUUUGGGUUAUCUUUGGCGCCCCCUAGAACGUAAACCGUGGGGUGCAGCGUCAUGAUUUGAAUAACUUUUAAUGGCCAUGGGGUGUAGAUUGGCCUGAGCAAAUGUGGUGCCGGUGGAACGAAAGCCUUCGGAGGAGUUAGCGAAAUUCCAAUGUGUGCGAAUUGGCAAAAAAUGCGGAAUAACCCUUUAACCGUACAUUUGACAGAUACGCGCGCAUGGACUUUUUUGUAGAUCUUAUUGAGAUACAUGUGUGUGUCAAUUUUUGUGUCAUUUUGACAAAGCGUACAGGCGUGACACUCAACAAUGUGUAUUUUCACCUUAGGGGACAAGAAAAAAUGGACUUUUUUCUCCUGCCAUGGGGGGGCGCUCUUUUGGGGAGUAAAAAUUCCUUCACAAAUGUGUUGAUGGCUGGACAUUGCAUCAUCCUAGAAAACUUGGAGGCCAGUGAGGGCAAAAAUAAAAAGUUAUAAGACUUUUAAAUAUGUGGAUUUUAGGGUUAUCUUUGGCGCCCCCUAGAACCUAAACCGUGGGGUGCAGCGUCAUGAUUUGAAUAACUUUUAAUGGCCAUGGGGUGUAGAUUGGCCUGAGCAAAUUUGGUGUCAGUGGGACGAAAGCCUUAGGAGGAGUUAGCGAAAUUCCAAUGUGUGCGAAUCGGCAAAAAAUGCAAAAUAGCCCUUUUACCGUACAUUAUACAGAUACGCGCUCUUGACUUUUUCGUAGAUCUAAUUGAGAUACACAUGAUUGUCAAUUUUUGUGUCAUUUUGCCAAAGCGUACAGGCGUGACAGUCAACAAUGUGUAUUUUCACCUUAGGGGACAAGAAAAAAUGGACUUUUUUCUCCUGCCAUGGGGGGGCGCUCUUUUAGGGAGUAAAAAUUCCUUCACAAAUGUGUUGAUGGCUGGACAUUGCAUCAUCCUAGAAAACUUGGAGGCCAGUGAGGACAAAAAUAAAAAGUUAUAAGACUUUUAAAAAUGUGGAUUUUUGGGUUAUCUUUGGCGCCCCCUAGAACGUAAACCGUGGGGUGCAGCGUCAUGAUUUGAAUAACUUUUAAUGGCCAUGGGGUGUAGAUUGGCCUGAGCAAAUGUGGUGCCGGUGGAACGAAAGCCUUCGGAGGAGUUAGCGAAAUUCCAAUGUGUGCGAAUUGGCAAAAAAUGCGGAAUAACCCUUUAACCGUACAUUUGACAGAUACGCGCGCAUGGACUUUUUUGUAGAUCUUAUUGAGAUACAUGUGUGUGUCAAUUUUUGUGUCAUUUUGACAAAGCGUACAGGCGUGACACUCAACAAUGUGUAUUUUCACCUUAGGGGACAAGAAAAAAUGGACUUUUUUCUCCUGCCAUGGGGGGCGCUCUUUUGGGGAGUAAAAAUUCCUUCACAAAUGUGUUGAUGGCUGGACAUUGCAUCAUCCUAGAAAACUUGGAGGCCAGUGAGGGCAAAAAUAAAAAGUUAUAAGACUUUUAAAUAUGUGGAUUUUAGGGUUAUCUUUGGCGCCCCCUAGAACCUAAACCGUGGGGUGCAGCGUCAUGAUUUGAAUAACUUUUAAUGGCCAUGGGGUGUAGAUUGGCCUGAGCAAAUGUGGUGCCGGUGGAACGAAAGCCUUCGGAGGAGUUAGCGAAAUUCCAAUGUGUGCGGAUCGGCAAAAAAUGCGAAAUAACCCUUUAAUUGUACAUUUGACAGAUACGCCCGCACUGACUUUUUUGUAGAUCUUAUUGAGAUACAUGUGUGUGUCAAAUUUUGUGUCAUUUUGACAAAGCGUACAGGCGUGACACUCAAUAGUGUGAAUUUUCACCUUAGGGGGCGCUAUGGAGCCAUUUUGCAUUUUCUUGUUUGGGCGACUUCGGAAUAUCAAAUUUUUCACCAGGCCCGGUCGUCCUGCCAAAUUUCAUGAGUUUUUGCCAGUGGGAAGUGGGCCAUUUUCCAGUUCAAAGGGGAGGAAAAAGAAAAAACAGAAGAAAAACCACUUGGGGAAUAAUAGGGCUCUCGCAGCUGCUUAGCAGCAACGCUCGGGCCCUAACUAGGGCCCCGUUGGGGCACUGGCGGGCCCGAGCCGUGUCGCCCCCCCCCCCCCCCCCCCGGGCUGCCUCCCCGUCCCAUUCACGUCCUCUGGCCAUCGCCCUCUCUGGUAGCGCCCAUCACUGCAAAGACCCUUUUCCUUUAUCGGUGUUUGCUGUUCUUCCUGCCAGUGCGUGUUGCUUUCACUUACAUUUGCCACAGCCAGCCUCGUGAGUGCCUAGCCUAUUGGAUAUCACUGUCACCUACACAGGACAGUCAUUACCUUUCUAUUAAUACUUUGUUUUUUAAUUUCACAUUAAUUUCCAUAUUGUAUAAACGACUGGAAAAAACUUGAGCCCCUGCCCCUGUGUAAUCAUGUGCACGUCCCUGUUCUAUCUCCAAGGUGAAUCUUCACUGCUCAUGUUCUCCUCAGAAGCAGUCACCUCAGUCCCCUCAGGUUACUGUACACAUGCACCAACUGCCUGCUUCAGGUUUGGAUGGAGCUUCAUGGUUGUCUUUUGGAGAAAUGAGCAGUCAAGUUGUGUUUGAAAUUUGAUUUUUUUCAGGGGCAAAAGGAAGCCCCUGCAUUCUUGUCAAAUAUGUAAAUAGCAUGUUUUUGCAGGUGCUAAAAAACAGACUCUGUGUGUGUGUGUGUGUGUGUGUGUGUGUGUAUGUGUGUGUUUGUGUAUCCUAAGCUCUGAAGAGACAGUAGGAGCAGCAGAACAAAGUGUAUUUGUAGAAAAGCCGUAAGAGCUAUUGAAACGCCGUUUUUGCAGGUUGAAAGGUUCACGUCUCCACCAAAGGUCAGAGGUCAAAUAACAUUUAAAUGUCAAACUGUGACGUCACAGUCGAGGUCCAAAGAUAGUGUGCACACCUGUCUUUGGUCAUUUCCCAUUAUAAUGAAUGGGAGGCGCAGUUUCUACCGAAACGCUGGCUGCAGACAAACUACAUGUCCUAUUUGAAAAAAGUCUGGACCAUGAGGGCACAAACACAGCUAGGAAAUAUCCAAACGGCAAGUUGCUCCUCCUUUCGCUUUUGCCGAGAGAGCAGUGCGUUUGAGCCAUUGAACUAUGAACAGGAAAAACUUGACUUUAUUCUCCUGCCAUGGGGGGGCGCUCUUUUAACGAGAAAAAAUUCCUUCACAAAUGUGUUGAUGGCUGGACAUUGCAUCAUCCUAGAAAACAUGGAGUCCAGUGAGGACAAAAAUGAAAUGUUCUAACACUUUUAAGAAUAUGGAUAUUUGGGUCAUUUUUGGCGCCCCCUAGAACGUAAACCGUGGGGUGCAGCGUCAUGAUUUUUACAACUUUGAAUGGCCAUGGGGUGUAGAUUGGCCUGAAAUAUUUGGUGUCACUGGGACGAAAGCCUUAGGAGGAGUUAGCUACAUUCCAAUGUGUGUGAAUCGGCAAAAAAUUCGAAAUAGCCCUUUAACCGUACAUUUUACAGAUAUUUGUGCAUUGACUUUUUCGUAGAUCUUAUUGAGAUACACGUGAUUGUCAAAUUUUGUGUCAAUAUGACAAAGCGUACAGGCGUGAAUCUCAACAAUAUGUAUUUUCACCUUAGGGGACAAGAAAAAAUGGACUUUUUUCUCCUGCCAUGGGGGGGCGCUCUGUUGGGGAGUAAAAAUUCCUUCACAAAUGUGUUGAUGGCUGGACAUUGCAUCAUCCUAGAAAACUUGGAGGCCAGUGAGCACAAAAAUAAAAAGUUAUAAGACUUUUAAAUAUGUGGAUUUUAGGGUUAUCUUUGGCGCCCCCUAGAACAUAAACCGUGGGGUGCAGCGUCAUGAUUUGUACAACUUUUAAUGGCCAUGGGGUGUAGAUUGGCCUGAGCAAAUGUGGUGCCGGUGGAACGAAAGCCUUCGGAGGAGUUAGCGAAAUUCCAAUGUGUGCGGAUCGGCAAAAAAUGCGAAAUAGCCCUUUAACCGUACAUUUGACAGAUACGCCCGCACUGACUUUUUUGUAGAUCUUAUUGAGAUACACAUGUGUGUCAAAUUUUGUGUCAUUUUGACAAAGCGUACAGGCGUCAGGUGAGUUUUCACCAUAGGGGGCGCUAUGGAGCCAUUUUUCAUUUUUUUGUUUGGACGACUUCAGAAUAUCAAAUUUUUCACCAGGCCCGGUCGUCCUGCCAAAUUUCCUGAGUUUUCGCCAGUGGGAAGUGGGCCAUUUUCCAGUUUAAAGCGGAGGAAAAAUAACGAAAGAAGAAUCCAUCAGGAACAAGAGGGCUCUCGCAGCUGCUUAGCAGCUACGCUCGGGCCCUAACUAGGGCCCCGUUGGGGCACUGGCAAGCCCGAGCCGUGUUGCGCCGCCCCCAGCGCGACCGCCUACCCCUCCCGAUCGCGUCACACUCAAGGUCCAAAGAUGGUGUGCGCACUUGUCUGUGGUCAUUUACCAUUAUAAUGAAUGGGAGGCGCAGUUUCUACCAAAAUGCUCGCUGCAGACAAACUCCAUGUCCUUUUUGAAAAAAGUCUGGACCAUGAGUGAGGGCAUAAACACAACUAGUAUAUAUCCAAAUGGCAAGUUGCUCCUCCUUUCGGUUUUGCCGAGAGAGCGAUGCGUUUGAGCCAUUGAGCGAUGGGCAGGAAAAACUUGACUUUUUCUCCUGCCAUGGGGGGGCGCUCUUUUGGGGAGAAAAAAUUCCUUCACAAAUGUGUUGAUGGCUGGACAUUGCAUCAUCCUAGAAAACUUGGAGGCCAGUGAGGACAAAAAUAAAAAGUUAUAAGACUUUUAAAAAUGUGGAUAUUUGGGUCCUCUUUGGCGCCCCCUAGAACGUAAACCGUGGGGUGCAGCGUCAUGAUUUGUACAACUUUGAAUGGCCAUGGGGUGUAGAUUGACCUGAGCAAAUUUGAAGCCGAUGGGACAAAAGCUUUAGGAGGAGUUAGCCACAUUCCAAUGUGUGCGAAUCGGCAAAAAAUGCUAAAAUAGCCCUUUAACCGUACAUUGAACAGAUACGCUCGCAUGACUUUUUCGUAGAUCUUAUUGAGAUACAUGUGUGUGUCAAAUUUUGUGUCAUUUUGACAAAGCGUAAAGGCGUGACAGUCAACAAUGUGUAUUUUCGCCUUAGGAGACAAGAAAAAAUGGACUUUUUUCUCCUGCCAUGGGGGGGCGCUCUUUUGGCGAGUAAAAAUUCCUUCACAAAUGUGUUGAUGGCUGGACAUUGCAUCAUCCUAGAAAACUUGGAGGCCAGUGAGGACAAAAAUAAAAAGUUAUAAGACUUUGAAAUAUGUGGAUUUUAGGGUCCUCUUUGGCGCCCCCUAGAACGUAAACCGUGGGGUGCAGCGUCAUGAUUUUUACAACUUUGAAUGGCCAUGGGGUGUAGAUUGGCCUGAGCAAAUUUGGUUUCAGUGGGACGAAAGCCUUAGGAGGAGUUAGCCACAUUCCAAUGUGUGCGAAUCGGCAAAAAAUGCAAAAUAGCCGUUUAGCCGUACAUUUUACAGAUACGCGCUCUUUGACUUUUUCGUAGAUCUUAUUGAGAUACACGUGUGUGUCAAAUUUUUUGUCAAUAUGACAAAGCGUACAGGCGUGAAUCUCAACAAUGUGUAUUUUCACCUUAGGGGACAAGAAAAAAUUGACUUUUUUGUCCUGCCAUGGGGGGGCGCUCUUUUGGGGAGUAAAAAUUCCUUCACAAAUGUGUUGAUGGCUGGACAUUGCAUCAUACUAGAAAACUUGGAGGCCAGUGGGGACAAAAAUAAAAAGUUAUAAAACUUUUAAGAAUGUGGAUUUUUGGGUUAUUUUUGGCGCCCCCUAGAACCUAAACCAUGGGGUGCAGCAUCAUGAUUUGUACAACUUUGAAUGGCCAUGGAGUGUAGAUUGGCCUGAGCAAAUGUGGUGCCGGUGGAACGAAAGCCUUCGGAGGAGUUAGCGAAAUUCCAAUGUGUGCGGAUCGGCAAAAAAUGCGAAAUAACCCUUUAACCGUACAUUUGACAGAUACGCCCGCACUGACUUUCUUGUAGAUCUUAUUGAGAUACAUGUGUGUGUCAAUUUUUGUGUCAAUAUGACAAAGCGUACAGGCGUGACAGUCAAUAGUGUGAAUUUUCACCUUAGGGGGCGCUAUGGAGCCAUUUUGCAUUUUAUUGUUUGGGUGACUUCAGAAUAUCGAAUUUUUCACCAGGCCCGGUCGUCCUGCCAAAUUUCAUGAGUUUUCGCCAGUGGGAAGUGGGCCAUUUUCCAGUUUAAAGCGGAGGAAAAAUAAUAACUAGGACCCCGUUGGGGCACUGGCGGGCCCGAGCCGUGUCGCGUAUCCCCCCCCCCCCCCCCAACAUGCUGCCUCCCCGUCCCAUUUGUGUCCUCUGGCCAUCGCCCUCUCUGUUAACGCCCAUCACUGCAAAGACCCUUUUCCUUCAUCGGCGUUUGCUGUUCUUCCUGCCAGUGCGUGUUGCUUUCACUUACACUUGCCACAGCCAGCCUCGUGAGUGCCUAGCCUAUUGGAUAUCACUGUCACCUACACAGGACAGUCAUUACCUUUCUAUUAAUACUUUGUGUUUUAAUUUCACAUUAAUUUCCAUAUUGUAUAAACGACUGGAAAAAACUUGAGCCCCUGCCCCUGUAUAAUCAUGUGCAUGUCUCUGUUCUAGCUCCAAGGUGAAUCUUCACUGCUCAUGUUCUCCUCAGAAGCACUCACCUCACUCCCCUCAGGUUACUGUACACAUGCACCAACUGCCUGCUUCAGGUUUGGAUGGAGCUUCAUGGUUGUCUUUUGGAGAAAUGACCAGUCAAGUUGUGUUUGAAAUUUGAUUUUUUUCAGGGGCAAAAGGAGCCUCUGCAUUCUUGUCAAAUAUGUAAAUAGCAUGUUUUUGCAGGUGCUAAAAACCAGACUCUGAGUGUGUGUGUGUGUGUGUGUGUGUGUGCGUGUGUGUCUGCGUGUGCGUUCAAGUCACAUGACAUAUUUAACCGGAUGUAGCUGCAAGACGGAGCCUCGUUGACUCUCCGUUUCAACUUAUCUCAAAAGUGAGGACCUCAACCUAUAUACCAGUUUUUAAAUUGUGUUGAUAGGCCAAAUAAAACCAGAGUUAUGAUAAAUUAUGUCCGCGAUACUUUUUUUCUGCUUAUUUUGAUCACGUUCGGCGCUCGAUCGCGCUGUAUGAGACAGGAAAACAUAGCAUGCAGACAUUAGCGACAGGUCUUACAGGCGGAAAAGGCUUGCCAAAAGAAAAAAAAAACACACCACAACAUCUCUCCUAUUGGUGGAAAACUUCACCACAACAACCAAUCCAAAAUUAUAUGGUGACUGAUUGACAAGGGGCGGGCGCUUACGUUCUUCCUGCAACAUGAGAAGCGAGGAGGGACUCUCAGCAGGGAUGCAGUCUGGGACACGUAGUUGCAAACCUAGCGACUUUGUUGUUAGAUUCAAUGACUUUUCAGACCCCCUAACGACUUUUUUUUAGAAAGAAAGGGACUUUUAUCGACUUCUUCUGGAGUUUAGAGACUCUGACAUGAAGCAGGCUUUCCUUACUGAGGAGUUAGCAACGCUGCUAAGGGUGCAGAGCCACACAUGCGCUCAGAGCUCUGCAUGGGAGACUGAAGCUGACAGAGCUGCAGCAGUUAGCAGGUUUCACCCUCAGAGACCACCAGGGGUUCAUGUUGAGGCAUUUUAAUUUUUUUUUUUUUGUGCCAUAGACACUGUCAGCACAAUCUGCAGUUACACUAACAAAAAUGCUGCAAAAAACAAAGAAUUAUGGAAAAAUUACACAUGGACUGACAUAGAGGAGGAUCUACACAAGUUUUUUACAUCAUGUUUUACAUCAUGCAUCAUUUACAUCAUGUUUUUUUGUAGUGGCAUAAAUAAAAAGUGACAUUUGUGAGACUAUACAGUGUUUUGUAAAUAAUUUUACAAAGAACGCCUGGGCCAUUGCCUGCAUUUUGAUGUAAAUAGAGGUAAAUAACUAUGUUCUUUGUUAAAAAUUUGCAUAUGUUUUGAAGUUUACAAUUUUUAUUUGAAGUUUAAGUUUUAAAAACAGUUCAUCACACAUAUUUGUGGUUUAAUUUCACAUUAAUUUCCAUAUUGUAUAAAUGACUGGAAAAAACUUGAGCCCCUGCCCCUGUAUAAUCAUGUGCACGUCCCUGUUCUAGCUCCAAGGUGAAUCUUCACUGCUCAUGUUCUCCUCAGAAAUAGUCACCUCACUCCCCUCAGGUUACUGUACACAUGCACCAACUAUCUGCUUCAGGUUUGAAAUGGAGCUUCAUGGCUGUCUUUUGGAGAAAUGAACAGUCAAGUUGUGUUUGAAAUUUGAUUUUUUUCAGGGGCAAAAGGAAGCCUCUGCAUUCUUGUCAAAUAUGUAAACAGCAUGUUUUUGCAGGUGCUAAAAAACAGACUCUGAGUGUGUGUGUGUGUCUGUGUGUGUGUGUGUGUGUGUGUGUGUGUGUAUGUUGGCGUGUGUGUAUAUGUGUGUGUAUCCUGCAGUACUCUGUACUCCUGCAGUGGCCAAAAAGACUUUUAAGAAUGUGGAUUUUUGGGUCAUCUUUGGCGCCCCCUAGAACUGCAGUACUCUGUACUCCUGCAGUGGCCAAAAUGACUUUUAAGAAUGUGGAUUUUUGGGUCAUCUUUGGCGCCCCCUAGAACGUAAACCGUGGGGUGCAGCGUCAUGAUUUUUACAACUUUGAAUGGGCAUGGGGUGUAGAUUGGCCUGAGCAAAUUUGGUAUCGGUGGGACGAAAGCCUUAGGAGGAGAUAGCCACAUUCCAAUGUGUGCGAAUCAGCAAAAAAUGCAAAAUAGCCCUUUAACCGUACAUUAUACAGAUACGCGCUCUUUGACUUUUUUGUAGAUCUAAUUGAGAUACACAUGAUUGUCAAUUUUUGUGUCAAUAUGACAAAGCGUUUAGGCGUGACACUCAACAAUGUGUAUUUUCAUGUAAGGGGACAAGAAAAAAUGGACUUUUUUCUCCUACCAUGGGGGGGCGCUCUUUUGGGGAGUAAAAAUUCCUUCACAAAUGUGUUGAUGGCUGGACAUUGCAUCAUCCUAGAAAACUUGGAGGCCAGUGAGGACAAAAAUAAAAAGUUAUAAAACAUUUAAGAAUGUGGAUUUUUGGGUUAUUUUUGGCGCCCCCUAGAACCUAAACCAUGGGGUGCAGCAUCAUGAUUUGAAUAACUUUUAAUGGGCAUGGGGUGUAGAUUGGCCUGAGCAAAUGUGGUGCCGGUGGAACGAAAGCCUUCGGAGGAGUUAGCGAAAUUCCAAUGUGUGCGUAUCGGCAAAAAAAGCGGAAUAACCCUUUAACUGUACAUUUGACAGAUACGCGCGCAUGGACUUUUUUGUAGAUCUUAUUGAGUUACAUGUGUGUGUCAAUUUUUGUGUCAUUUUGCCAAAGCGUACAGGUGUUACACUCAACAAUGUGUAUUUUCACCUUAGGGGACAAGAAAAAAUGGACUUUUUUCUCCUGCCAUGGGGGGGCGCUCUUUUGGGGAGUAAAAAUUCCUUCACAAAUGUGUUGAUGGCUGGACAUUGCAUCAUCCUAGAAAACUUGGAGGCCAGUGAGGGCAAAAAUAAAAAGUUAUAAGACUUUUAAAUAUGUGGAUCUUAGGGUUAUCUUUGGCGCCCCCUAGAACCUAAACCGUGGGGUGCAGCGUCAUGAUUUGAAUAACUUUUAAUGGCCAUGGGGUGUAGAUUGGCCUGAGCAAAUGUGGUGCCGGUGGAACGAAAGCCUUCGGAGGAGUUAGCGAAAUUCCAAUGUGUGCGGAUCGGCACAAAAUGCGAAAUAACCCUUUAACCGUAAUUUUGACAGAUACGGCCGCACUGACUUUUUUGUAGAUCUUAUUGAGAUACAUAUGUGUGUCAAUUUUUGUGUCAAUAUGACAAAGCGUACAGGCGUGACAGUCAAUAGUGUGAAUUUCCACCUUAGGGGGCGCUAUGGAGCCAUUUUGCAUUUUAUUGUUUGGGCGACUUCAGAAUAUCGAAUUUUUCACCAGGCCCGGUCGUCCUGCCAAAUUUCAUGAGUUUUCGCCAGUGGGAAGUGGGCCAUUUUCCAGUUCAAAGGGGAGGAAAAAGAAGAAAGAAAGAAAGAAAGAAAGAACUAGGGCCCCGUUGGGGCACUGGCGGGCCCGAGCUGUGUCGCGCCCCCCCCCCCAACGCGCUGCCUCCCCAUCCCAUUCGCAUCCUCUGGCCAUCGUCCUCUCUGGUAACGCCCAUCACUGCAAAGACCCUUUUCCUUCAUCGGCGUUUGCUGUUCUUCCUGCCAGUGCGUGUUGCUUUCACUUACACUUGCCACAGCCAGCCUCGUGAGUGCCUAGCCUAUUGGAUAUCACUGUCACCUACACAGGACAGUCAUUACCUUUCUAUUAAUACUUUGUUUUUUAAUUUCACAUUAAUUUCCAUAUUGUAUAAACAACUGGAAAAAACUUGAGCCCCUGCCCCUGUAUAAUCAUGUGCACGUCCCUGUUCUCGCUCCAAGGUGAAUCUUCACUGCUCAUGUUCUCCUCAGAAGCAGUCACCUCACUCCCCUCAGGUUACUGUACACAUGCACCAACUGCCUGCUUCAGGUUUGGAUGGAGCUUCAUGGUUGUCUUUUGGAGAAAUGACCAGUCAAGUUGUGUUUGAAAUUUGAUUUUUUUCAGGGGCAAAAGGAGCCUCUGCAUUCUUGUCAAAUAUGUAAAUAGCAUGUUUUUGCAGGUGCUAAAAACCAGACUCUGACUGUGUAUGUGUGUGUGUGUGUGCGUGUGUGUGUCUGUGUGUGUGUGUGUGCGUUCAAGUCACAUGACAUAUUUAACCGGAUGUAGCUGCAAGACGGAGCCUCGUUGACUCUCCGUUUCAACUUAUCUCAAAAGUGAGGACCUCAACCUAUAUACCAGUUUUUAAAUUGUGUUGAUAGGCCAAAUAAAACCAGAGUUAUGAUAAAUUAUGUCCGCGAUACUUUUUUUCUGCUUCUUUUGAUCACGUUCGGCGCUCGAUCGCGCUGUAUGAGACAGGAAAACAUAGCAUGCAGACAUUAGCAACAGCUCUUACAGGCGGAAAAGGCUUGCCAAAAGAAAAAAAAAAACACACCACAACAUCUCUCCUAUUGGUGGAAAACUUCACCACAACAACCAAUCCAAAAUUAUAUGGUGACUGAUUGACAAGGGGCGGGCGCUUACGUUCUUCCUGCAACAUGAGAAGGGAGGGAGGGACUCUCAGCAGGGAUGCAGUCUGGGACACGUAGUUGCAAACCUAGCGACUUUGUUGUUAGAUUCAAUGACUUUUCAGACCCCCUAACGACUUUUUUUUAGAAAGAAAGGGACUUUUAUCGACUUCUUCUGGAGUUUAGAGACUCUGACAUAGAGCAGGCUUUCCUUACUGAGGAGUUAGCAACGCUGCUAAGGGUGCAGAGCCACACAUGCGCUCCGAGCUCUGCAUGGGAGACUGAAGCUGACAGAGCUGCAGCAGUUAGCAGGUUUCACCCUCAGAGACCACCAGAGGUUCAUGUUGAGGCAUUUUAAUUUUUUUUUUUUUUUUUUGCCAUAGACACUGUCAGCACAAUCUGCAGUUACACUAACAGAAAUGCUGCAAAAAACAAAGAAUUAUGAAAAAAUUACACAUGGACUGACAUAGAGGAGGAUCUACACAAGUUUUUUACAUCAUGUUUUACAUCAUGCAUCAUUUACAUCAUGUUUUUUUGUAGUGGCAUAAAUAAAAAGUGACAUUUGUGAGACUAUACAGUGUUUUGUAAAUUAUUUUACAAAGAACGCCUGGGCCAUUGCCUGCAUUUUGAUGUAAAUAGAGGUAAAUUACUAUGUUCUUUGUUAAAAAUUUGCAUAUGUUUUGAAGUUUACAAUUUUUAUUUGAAGUUUAAGUUUUAAAAACAGUUCAUCACACAUAUUUGUGGUUUAAUUUCACAUUAAUUUCCAUAUUGUAUAAAUGACUGGAAAAAACUUGAGCCCCUGCCCCUGUAUAAUCAUGUGCACGUCCCUGUUCUAGCUCCAAGGUGAAUCUUCACUGCUCAUGUUCUCCUCAGAAAUAGUCACCUCACUCCCCUCAGGUUACUGUACACAUGCACCAACUAUCUGCUUCAGGUUUGGAUGGAGCUUCAUGGUUGUCUUUUGGAGAAAUGAACAGUCAAGUUGUGUUUGAAAUUUGAUUUUUUUCAGGGGCAAAAGGAGCCUCUGCAUUCUUGUCAAAUAUGUAAAUAGCAUGUUUUUGCAGGUGCUAAAAAACAGACUCUGAGUGUGUGUGUGUGUGUGUGUGUGUGUGUGUGUGUGUGUGUGUGUGUGUGUGUGUGUGUGUAUCCUGCAGUACUCUGUACUCCUGCAGUGGCCAAAAAGACUUUUAAGAAUGUGGAUUUUUGGGUCAUCUUUGGCGCCCCCUAGAACUGCAGUACUCUGUACUCCUGCAGUGGCCAAAAUGACUUUUAAGAAUGUGGAUUUUUGGGUCAUCUUUGGCGCCCCCUAGAACGUAAACCGUGGGGUGCAGCGUCAUGAUUUUUACAACUUUGAAUGGGCAUGGGGUGUAGAUUGCCCUGAGCAAAUUUGGUAUCGGUGGGACGAAAGCCUUAGGAGGAGAUAGCCACAUUCCAAUGUGUGCGAAUCGGCAAAAAAUGCGAAAUAGUCCUUUAACCGUACAUUAUACAGAUACGCGCUUUUUGACUUUUUCGUAGAUCUAAUUGAGAUACACAUGAUUGUCAAUUUUUGUGUCAAUAUGACAAAGCGUUCAGGCGUGACACUCAACAAUGUGUAUUUUCAUGUUAGGGGACAAGAAAAAAUGGACUUUUUUCUCCUGCCAUGGGGGGGCGCUCUUUUGGGGAGUAAAAAUUCCUUCACAAAUGUGUUGAUGGCUGGACAUUGCAUCAUCCUAGAAAACUUGGAGGUCAGUGAGGACAAAAAUAAAAAGUUAUAAGACUUUUAAAUAUGUGGAUUUUAGGGUUAUCUUUGGCGCCCCCUAGAACGUAAACCGUGGGGUGCAGCGUCAUGAUUUGUACAACUUUUAAUGGCCAUGGGGUGUAGAUUGGCCUGAGCAAAUUUGGUGCCGGUGGAACGAAAGCCUUCGGAGGAGUUAGCGAAAUUCCAAUGUGUGCGGAUCGGCAAAAAAUGCGAAAUAGCCCUUUAACGGUACAUUUGACAGAUACGCCCGCGCUGACUUUUUUGUAGAUCUUAUUGGGAUACACAUGUGUGUCAAAUUUUGUGUCAUUUUGACAAAGCGUACAGGCGUCAGGUGAGUUUUCACCAUAGGGGGCGCUAUGGAGCCAUUUUUCAUUUUUUUGUUUGGGCGACUUCAGAAUAUCGAAUUUUUCACCAGGCCCGGUCGUCCUGCCAAAUUUCCUGAGUUUUCGCCAGUGGGAAGUGGGCCAUUUUCCAGUUUAAAGCGGAGGAAAAAUAACGAAAGAAGAAUCCAUCAGGAACAAGAGGGCUCUCGCAGCUGCUUAGCAGCUACGCUCGGGCCCUAAAGAAAGAAACAAAGAAAAACCACUUGGGGAAUAAUAGGGCCUACGCCCGGCUGCUCUGCAGCUGGCUCGGGCCCUAACUAGGACCCCGUUGGGGCACUGGCGGGCCCGAGCCGUGUCGCGUCCCCCCCCCCAACGCGCUGCCUCCCCGUCCCAUUUGUGUCCUCUGGCCAUCGCCCUCUCUGGUAACGCCCAUCACUGCAAAGACCCUUUUCCUUCAUCGGCGUUUGCUGUUCUUCCUGCCAGUGCGUGUUGCUUUCACUUACACUUGCCACAGCCAGCCUCGUGAGUGCCUAGCCUAUUGGAUAUCACUGUCACCUACACAGGACAGUCAUUACCUUUCUAUUAAUACUUUGUUUUUUAAUUUCACAUUAAUUUCCAUAUUGUAUAAAUGACUGGAAAAAACUUGAGCCCCUGCCCCUGUAUAAUCAUGUGCACGUCCCUGUUCUAGCUCCAAGGUGAAUCUUCACUGCUCAUGUUCUCCUCAGAAAUAGUCACCUCACUCCCCUCAGGUUACUGUACACAUGCACCAACUAUCUGCUUCAGGUUUGAAAUGGAGCUUCAUGGUUGUCUUUUGGAGAAAUGAACAGUCAAGUUGUGUUUGAAAUUUGAUUUUUUUCAGGGGCAAAAGGAAGCCUCUGCAUUCUUGUCAAAUAUGUAAACAGCAUGUUUUUGCAGGUGCUAAAAAACAGACUCUGAGUGUGUGUGUGUGUCUGUGUGUGUGUGUGUGUGUGUGUGUGUGUGUAUGUUGGCGUGUGUGUAUCCUGCAGUACUCUGUACUCCUGCAGUGGCCAAAAAGACUUUUAAGAAUGUGGAUUUUUGGGUCAUCUUUGGCGCCCCCUAGAACUGCAGUACUCUGUACUCCUGCAGUGGCCAAAAUGACUUUUAAGAAUGUGGAUUUUUGGGUCAUCUUUGGCGCCCCCUAGAACGUAAACCGUGGGGUGCAGCGUCAUGAUUUUUACAACUUUGAACGGGCAUGGGGUGUAGAUUGCCCUGAGCAAAUUUGGUGUCGGUGGGACGAAAGCCUUAGGAGGAGAUAGCCACAUUCCAAUGUGUGCGAAUCGGCAAAAAAUGCAAAAUAGCCCUUUAACCGUACAUUAUACAGAUACGCGCUCUUUGACUUUUUCGUAGAUCUAAUUGAGAUACACAUGAUUGUCAAUUUUUGUGUCAAUAUGACAAAGCGUUCAGGCGUGACACUCAACAAUGUGUAUUUUUAUGUAAGGGGACAAGAAAAAAUUGAUUUUUUUCUCCUGCCAUGGGGGGGCGCUCUUUUGGGGAGUAAAAAUUCCUUCACAAAUGUGUUGAUGGCUGGACAUUGCAUCAUCCUAGAAAACUUGGAGGCCAGUGAGGACAAAAAUAAAAAGUUAUAAAACAUUUAAGAAUGUGGAUUUUUGGGUUAUUUUUGGCGCCCCCUAGAACCUAAACCAUGGGGUGCAGCAUCAUGAUUUGAAUAACUUUUAAUGGCCAUGGGGUGUAGAUUGGCCUGAGCAAAUGUGGUGCCGGUGGAACGAAAGCCUUCGGAGGAGUUAGCGAAAUUCCAAUGUGUGCGUAUCGGCAAAAAAUGCGGAAUAACCCUUUAACUGUACAUUUGACAGAUACGCGCUCAUUGACUUUUUUGUAGAUCUUAUUGAGUUACAUGUGUGUGUCAAUUUUUGUGUCAUUUUGACAAAGCGUAUAGGCGUGACACUCAACAAUGUGUAUUUUCACCUUAGGGGACAAGAAAAAAUGGACUUUUUUCUCCUGCCAUGGGGGGGCGCUCUUUUGGGGAGUAAAAAUUCCUUCACAAAUGUGUUGAUGGCUGGACAUUGCAUCAUCCUAGAAAACUUGGAGGCCAGUGAGGACAAAAAUAAAAAGUUAUAAGACUUUUAAAUAUGUGGAUUUUAGUGUUAUCUUUGGCGCCCCCUAGAACCUAAACCUUGGGGUGCAGCGUCAUGAUUUUGAUAACUUUUAAUGGCCACGGGGUGUAGAUUGGCCUGAGCAAAUGUGGUGCCGGUGGAACGAAAGCCUUCGGAGGAGUUAGCGAAAUUCCAAUGUGUGCGGAUCGGCAAAAAAUGCGAAAUAACCCUUUAACCGUACAUUUGACAGAUACGCCCGCACUGACUUUUUUGUAGAUCUUAUUGAGAUACAUAUGUGUGUCAAUUUUUGUGUCAAUAUGACAAAGCGUACAGGCGUGACAGUCAAUAGUGUGAAUUUCCACCUUAGGGGGCGCUAUGGAGCCAUUUUGCAUUUUAUUGUUUGGGCGACUUCAGAAUAUCGAAUUUUUCACCAGGCCCGGUCGUCCUGCCAAAUUUCAUGAGUUUUCGCCAGUGGGAAGUGGGCCAUUUUCCAGUUCAAAGGGGAGGAAAAAGAAGAAAGAAAGAACUAGGACCCCGUUGGGGCACUGGCGGGCCCGAGCCGUGUCGCGUCCCCCCCCCCAACGUGCUGCCUCCCCGUCCCAUUUGUGUCCUCUGGCCAUCGCCCUCUCUGGUAACGCCCAUCACUGCAAAGACUCUUUUCCUUCAUCGGCGUUUGCUGUUCUUCCUGCCAGUGCGUGUUGCUUUCACUUACACUUGCCACAGCCAGCCUCGUGAGUGCCUAGCCUAUUGGAUAUCACUGUCACCUACACAGGACAGUCAUUACCUUUCUAUUAAUACUUUGUGUUUUAAUUUCACAUUAAUUUCCAUAUUGUAUAAACGACUGGAAAAAACUUGAGCCCCUGCCCCUGUAUAAUCAUGUGCAUGUCUCUGUUCUAGCUCCAAGGUGAAUCUUCACUGCUCAUGUUCUCCUCAGAAGCACUCACCUCACUCCCCUCAGGUUACUGUACACAUGCACCAACUGCCUGCUUCAGGUUUGGAUGGAGCUUCAUGGUUGUCUUUUGGAGAAAUGACCAGUCAAGUUGUGUUUGAAAUUUGAUUUUUUUCAGGGGCAAAAGGAGCCUCUGCAUUCUUGUCAAAUAUGUAAAUAGCAUGUUUUUGCAGGUGCUAAAAACCAGACUCUGAGUGUGCGUGUGUGUGUGUCUGUGUGUGCGUUCAAGUCACAUGACAUAUUUAACCGGAUGUAGCUGCAAGACGGAGCCUCGUUGACUCUCCGUUUCAACUUAUCUCAAAAGUGAGGACCUCAACCUAUAUACCAGUUUUUAAAUUGUGUUGAUAGGCCAAAUAAAACCAGAGUUAUGAUAAAUUAUGUCCGCGAUACUUUUUUUCUGCUUAUUUUGAUCACGUUCGGCGCUCGAUCGCGCUGUAUGAGACAGGAAAACAUAGCAUGCAGACAUUAGCGACAGGUCUUACAGGCGGAAAAGGCUUGCCAAAGGAAAAAAAAACACACCACAACAUCUCUCCUAUUGGUGGAAAACUUCACCACAACAACCAAUCCAAAAUUAUAUGGUGACUGAUUGACAAGGGGCGGGAACUUACGUUCUUCCUGCAAUAUGAGAAGGGAGGGAGGGACUCUCAGCAGGGAUGCAGUCUGGGACACGUAGUUGCAAACCUAGCGACUUUGUUGUUAGAUUCAAUGACUUUUCAGACCCCCUAACGACUUUUUUUUAGAAAGAAAGUGACUUUUAUCGACUUCUUCUGGAGUUUAGAGACUCUGACAUGAAGCAGGCUUUCCUUACUGAGGAGUUAGCAACACUGCUAAGGGUGCAGAGCCACACAUGCGCUCCGAGCUCUGCAUGGGAGACUGAAGCUGACAGAGCUGCAGCAGUUAGCAGGUUUCACCCUCAGAGACCACCAGGGGUUCAUGUUGAGGCAUUUUCAGUUUUUUUUUUUUUUUUUUUUUGCCAUAGACACUGUCAGCACAAUCUGCAGUUACACUAACAAAAAUGCUGCAAAAAACAAAGAAUUAUGGAAAAAUUACACAUGGACUAACAUAGAGGAGGAUCUACACAAGUUUUUUACAUCAUGUUUUACAUCAUGCAUCAUUUACAUCAUGUUUUUUUGUAGUGGCAUAAAUAAAAAGUGACAUUUGUGAGACUAUACAGUGUUUUGUAAAUAAUUUUACAAAGAAAACCUGGGCCAUUGCCUGCAUUUUGAUGUCAAUAGAGGUAAAUUACUAUGUUCUUUGUUAAAAAUUUGCAUAUGUUUUGAAGUUUACAAUUUUUAUUUGAAGUUUAAGUUUUAAAAACAGUUCAUCACACAUAUUUGUGGUUUUCACAGUAAAAACGUUACUUUUUUCCACUCGGAUUUUAUGUUUUGUGUGUGAAUUUGGGUCCAAUGUGUAAAUAUAGUAUGUCAAAAUGAUAAAAUAACUGUAAAUUGACACAGGUGAGGUUGUGCUGAAAAAAAUGAUACCAGGCAAGGCAAGGUAAAAAUUUUGUCAGAGGAAAUAUAAAGGUAAAAUCUAAAGUAGUCAAAAACGGCCAAUAGUGACUCACAGACUCCACAGACAAGUCCCUUUGGCGCCACUCAGUGGGCAAAACUACUUUGUCUACUGUAAUGUAUAUUUGGGUCAUCUUUGGCGCCCCCUAAAACGUAAACCGUGGGGUGCAGCGUCAUGAUUUUUACAACUUUGAAUGGCCAUGGAGUGUAGAUUGGCCUGAGCAAAUUUGGUGUCAGUGGGACGAAAGCCUUAGGAGGAGUUAGCGAAAUUCCAAUGUGUGCGAAUUGGAAAAAAAUGCAAAAUAGCCCUUUUACCGUACAUUAUACAGAUACGCGCUCUUUGACUUUUUCGUAGAUCUAAUUGAGAUACACAUGAUUGUCAAUUUUUGUGUCAUUUUGCCAAAGCGUACAGGCGUGACAGUCAACAAUGUGUAUUUUCACCUUAGGGGACAAGAAAAAUGGACUUUUUUCUCCUGCCAUGGGGGGGCGCUCUUUUAGGGAGUAAAAAUUCCUUCACAAAUGUGUUGAUGGCUGGACAUUGCAUCAUCCUAGAAAACUUGGAGGCCAGUGAGGACAAAAAUAAAAAGUUAUAAGACUUUUAAAUAUGUGGAUCUUAGGGUUAUCUUUGGCGCCCCCUAGAACCUAAACCGUGGGGUGCAGCGUCAUGAUUUGAAUAACUUUUAAUGGCCAUGGGGUGUAAUUUGGCCUGAGCAAAUGUGGUGCCGGUGGAACGAAAGCCUUCGGAGGAGUUAGCGAAAUUCCAAUGUGUGCGAAUCGGCAAAAAAUGCGGAAUAACCCUUUAACCGUACAUUUGACAGACACGCGCGCAUUAACUUUUUCGUAGAUCUUAUUGAGUUACAUGUGUGUGUCAAUUUUUGUGUCAUUUUGCCAAAGCGUACAGGCGUAACACUCAACAAUGUGUAUUUUCACCUUAGGGGACAAGAAAAAAUUGACUUUUUUCUCCUGCCAUGGGGGGGCGCUCUUUUGGGGAGUAAAAAUUCCUUCACAAAUGUGUUGAUGGCUGGACAUUGCAUCAUCCUAGAAAACUUGGAGGCCAGUGAGGACAAAAAUAAAAAGUUAUAAGACUUUUAAAUAUGUGGAUUUUAGUGUUAUCUUUGGCGCCCCCUAGAACCUAAACCUUGGGGUGCAGCGUCAUGAUUUUGAUAACUUUUAAUGGCCACGGGGUGUAGAUUGGCCUGAGCAAAUGUGGUGCCGGUGGAACGAAAGCCUUCGGAGGAGUUAGCGAAAUUCCAAUGUGUGCGGAUCGGCAAAAAAUGCGAAAUAACCCUUUAACCGUAAUUUUGACAGAUACGGCCGCACUGACUUUUUUGUAGAUCUUAUUGAGAUACAUAUGUGUGUCAAUUUUUGUGUCAAUAUGUCAAAGCGUACAGGCGUGACAGUCAAUAGUGUGAAUUUCCACCUUAGGGGGCGCUAUGGAGCCAUUUUGCAUUUUAUUGUUUGGGCGACUUCAGAAUAUCGAAUUUUUCACCAGGCCCGGUCGUCCUGCCAAAUUUCAUGAGUUUUCGCCAGUGGGAAGUGGGCCAUUUUCCAGUUCAAAGGGGAGGAAAAAGAAGAAAGAAAGAAAGAAAGAAAGAAAGAAACAAAGAAAAACCACUUGGGGAAUAAUAGGGCUCUCGCAGCUGCUUAGCAGCUACGCUCGGGCCCUAAAGAAAGAAACAAAGAAAAACCACUUGGGGAAUAAUAGGGCCUACGCCCGGCUGCUCUGCAGCUGGCUCGGGCCCUAAUAAUAAUAAUAACUAGGGCCCCGUUGGGGCACUGGCAAGCCCGAGCCGUGUUGCGCCGCCCCCAGCGCGACCGCCUACCCCUCCCGAUCGCGUCACACUCAAGGUCCAAAGAUGGUGUGCGCACUUGUCUGUGGUCAUUUACCAUUAUAAUGAAUGGGAGGCGCCUUUUCUACCAAAAUGCUCGCUGCAGACAAACUCCAUGUCCUUUUUGAAAAAAGUCUGGACCAUGAGUGAGGGCAUAAACACAACUAGUAUAUAUCCAAAUGGCAAGUUGCUCCUCCUUUCGGUUUUGCCGAGAGAGCGAUGCGUUUGAGCCAUUGAGCGAUGGGCAGGAAAAACUUGACUUUUUCUCCUGCCAUGGGGGGGCGCUCUUUUGGGGAGAAAAAAUUCCUUCACAAAUGUGUUGAUGGCUGGACAUUGCAUCAUCCUAGAAAACUUGGAGGCCAGUGAGGACAAAAAUAAAAAGUUAUAAGACUUUUAAAAAUGUGGAUAUUUGGGUCCUCUUUGGCGCCCCCUAGAACGUAAACCGUGGGGUGCAGCGUCAUGAUUUGUACAACUUUGAAUGGCCAUGGGGUGUAGAUUGACCUGAGCAAAUUUGAAGCCGAUGGGACAAAAGCUUUAGGAGGAGUUAGCCACAUUCCAAUGUGUGCGAAUCGGCAAAAAAUGCUAAACUAGGGCCCCGUUGGGGCACUGGCGGGCCCGAGCCGUGUCGCGCCGCCCCCAGCGCGACCGCCUACCCCUCCCGAUCGCGUCACACUCAAGGUCCAAAGAUGGUGUGCGCACUUGUCUGUGGUCAUUUACCAUUAUAAUGAAUGGGAGGCGCAGUUUCUACCAAAACGCUCGCUGCAGACAAACUCCAUGUCAUUUUUGAAAAAAGUCUGGACCAUGAGUGAGGGCACAAACACAGCUAAUAUAUAUCCAAAUGGCAAGUUGCUCCUCCUUUCCGUUUUGCCGAGAGAGCGAUGCAUUUGAGCCAUUGAGCGAUGGGCAGGAAAAACUUGACUUUUUCUCCUGCCAUGGGGGGGCGCUCUUUUGGGGAGUAAAAAUUCCCUCACAAAUGUGUUGAUGGCUGGACAUUGCAUCAUCCUAGAAAACUUGGAGGCCAGUGAGGACAAAAAUAAAAAGUUAUAAGACUUCUAAAAAUGUGGAUAUUUGGGGCCUCUUUGGCGCCCCCUAGAACAUAAACCGUGGGGUGCAGCGUCAUGAUUUGUACAACUUUGAAUGGCCAUGGGGUGUAGAUUGACCUGAGCAAAUUUGGUGUCAGUGGGAUGAAAGCCUUAGGAGGAGUUAGCCACAUUCCAAUGUGUGCGAAUCGGCAAAAAAUGCGAAAUAGCCCUUUAACCGUACAUUGAACAGAUACGCUCGCAUUGACUUUUUCAUAGAUCGUAUUGAGAUACAUGUGUGUGUCAAUUUUUGUGUCAUUUUGACAAAGCGUAAAGGCGUGACAGUCAACAAUGUGUAUUUUCGCCUUAGGAGACAAGAAAAAAUGGACUUUUUUCUCCUGCCAUUGGGGGGCGCUCUUUUGGGGAGUAAAAAUUCCUUCACAAAUGUGUUGAUGGCUGGACAUUGCAUCAUCCUAGAGAACUUGGAGGCCAGUGAGGACAAAAAUAAAAAGUUAUAAGACUUUUAAGACUGUGGAUUUUUGGGUUAUCUUUGGCGCCCCCUAGAACGUAAACCGUGGGGUGCAGCGUCAUGAUUUGUACAACUUUUAAUGGCCAUGGGGUGUAGAUUGGCCUGAGCAAAUGUGGUGCCGUUGGAACGAAAGCCUUCGGAGGAGUUAGCGAAAUUCCAAUGUGUGCGGAUCGGCAAAAAAUGCGAAAUAACCCUUUAACGGUACAUUUGACAGAUACGCCCGCACUGACUUUUUCGUAGAUCUUAUUGAGAUACAUGUGUGUGUCAAAUUUUGUGUCAAUAUGACAAAGCAUACAGGCGUGACACUCGACAAUGUGUAUUUUGACCUUUGGAGACAAGAAAAAAUGGACCUUUUUCUCCUGCCAUUGGGGGGCGCUCUUUUGGGGAGUAAAAAUUCCUUCACAAAUGUGUUGAUGGCUGGACAUUGCAUCAUCCUAGAAAACUUGGAGGGCAGUGAGGACAAAAAUAAAAAGUUAUAAGACUUUUAAGAAUGUGGAUUUUGGGUUAUCUUUGGCGCCCCCUAGAACGUAAACCGUGGGGUGCAGCGUCAUGAUUUGUACAACUUUUAAUGGCCAUGGGGGGUAGAUUGGCCUGCGCAAAUGUGGUGCCGGUCGAACGAAAGCCUUCGGAGGAGUUAGCGAAAUUCCAAUGUGUGCAGAUCUGCAAAAAAUGCAAAAUAACCCAUUAACCGUACAUUUGACAGAUACGCCCGCACUGACUUUUUUGUAGAUCUUAUUGAGAUACAUGUGUGUGUCAAUUUUUGUGUCAAUAUGACAAAGCGUACAGCCGUCAUGUGAAUUUUCACCUUAGGGGGCGCUAUGGAGCCAUUUUGCAUUUUAUUGUUUGGGCGACUUCAGAAUAUCGAAUUUUUCACCAGGCCCGGUCGUCCUGCCAAAUUUCCUGAGUUUUCGCCAGUGGGAAGUGGGCCAUUUUCCAGUUUAAAGCGGAGGAAAAAUAAUAACUAGGGCCCCGGUGGGGCACUGUCGGGCCCGAGCCGCGUCGAGCCGCCCCCAGCGCGACCGCCUCCCCCUCCCGAUCGCGUCACACUCAAGGUCCAAAGAUGGUGUGCGCACUUGUCUGUGGUCAUUUCCCAUUAUAAUGAAUGGGAGGCGCAGUUUCUACCAAAACACUCGCUGCAGACAAACUACAUGUCCUAUUUGAAAAAAGUCUGGACCAUGAGUGAGGGCACAAACACAGCUAGGAUAUAUCCAAACGGCAAGUUGCUCCUCAUUACGGUGUUGCCGGGAGAGCGAUGCGAUUGAGCCAUUGAGUGAUGGGCAGGAAAAACUUGGGGGAUGGGGGGGGGGGGGGAUGUAGAUUCUUUUAAGAAUGUGGAUAUUUGGACAUUGCAUCAUCCUAGAAAACUUGGAGGCCAGUGAGGACGAAAAUAAAAAGUUAUAAGACUUUUAAAUAUGUGGAUAUUUGUGUCAUCUUUGGCGCCCCCUAGAACGUAAACCGUGGGGUGCAGCGUCAUGAUUUGAAUAACUUUUAAUGGCCAUGGGGUGUAGAUUGGCCUGAGCAAAUUUGGUGCCGAUGGAACGAAAGCCUUCAGAGGAGUUAGCCACAUUCCAAUGUGUGCGGAUCAGCAAAAAAUGCGGAAUAACCCUUUAACCGUACAUUUGACAGAUACGCGUGCAUUGACUUUUUCGUAGAUCUUAUUGAGAUACAUGUGUGUGUCAAUUUUUGUGUCAUUUUGACAAAGCGUACAGGCGUGACACUCAACAGUGCGUAUUUUCACCUUAGGGGACAAGAAAAAAUGGACUUUUUUCUCCUGCCAUGGGGGGGCGCUCUUUUGGGGAGUAAAAAUUCCUUCACAAAUGUGUUGAUGGCUGGACAUUGCAUCGUCCAAGAAAACUUGGAGGCCAGUGAGGACAAAAAUAAAAAGUUAUAAGACUUUUAAGAAUGUGGAUAUUUGGGUCAUCUUUGGCGCCCCCUAGAACGUAAACCGUGGGGUGCAGCAUCAUGAUUUGUACAACUUUUAAUGGCCAUGGGGUGUAGAUUGGCCUGAGCAAAUUUGGUGUCGGUGGAAUGAAAGCCUUCGGAGGAGUUAGUGAAAUUCCAAUGUGUGCGGAUCGGCAAAAAAUGCAAAAUAGCCCUUUUACCGUACAUUAUACAGAUACGCGCUCUUUGACUUUUUCGUAGAUCUUAUUGAGAUACACGUGAUUGUCAAAUUUUGUGUCAAUAUGACAAAGCGUUUAGGCGUGACACUCAACAAUGUGUAUUUUCACCUUAGGGGACAAGAAAAAAUGGACUUUUUUCUACUGCCAUGGGGGGGCGCUCUUUUGGGGAGUAAAAAUUUCUUCACAAAUGUGUUGAUGGCUGGACAUUGCAUCAUCCUAGAAAACUUGGGGGCCAGUGAGGACAAAAAUAAAAAGUUAUAAGACUUUUAAGAAUGUGGCUUUUUGGGUUAUCUUUGGCGCCCCCUAGAACCUAAACCGUGGGGUGCAGCGUCAUGAUUUGUACAACUUUUAAUGGCCAUGGGGUGUAGAUUGGCCUGAGCAAAUUUGGUGCCGGUGGAAGGAAAGCCUUCGGAGGAGUUAGCGAAAUUCCAAUGUGUGCGGAUCGGCAAAAAAUGCGAAAUAGCCCUUUAACGGUACAUUUGACAGAUACGCCCGCACUGACUUUUUUGUAGAUCUUAUUGAGAUACACAUGUGUGUCAAUUUUUGUGUCAUUUUGACAAAGCGUACAGGCGUCAGGUGAGUUUUCACCAUAGGGGGCGCUAUGGAGCCAUUUUUCAUUUUUUUGUUUGGGCGACUUCAGAAUAUCGAAUUUUUCACCAGGCCCGGUCGUCCUGCCAAAUUUCCUGAGUUUUCGCCAGUGGGAAGUGGGCCAUUUUCCAGUUUAAAGCGGAGGAAAAAUAACGAAAGAAGAAUCCAUCAGGAACAAGAGGGCUCUCGCAGCUGCUUAGCAGCUACGCUCGGGCCCUAACUAGGACCCCGUUGGGGCACUGGCGGGCCCGAGCCGUGUCGCGUCCCCCCCCCAACGUGCUGCCUCCCCGUCCCAUUUGUGUCCUCUGGCCAUCGCCCUCUCUGGUAACGCCCAUCACUGCAAAGACCCUUUUCCUUCAUCGGCGUUUGCUGUUCUUCCUGCCAGUGCGUGUUGCUUUCACUUACACUUGCCACAGCCAGCCUCGUGAGUGCCUAGCCUAUUGGAUAUCACUGUCACCUACACAGAACAGUCAUUACCUUUCUAUUAAUACUUUGUGUUUUAAUUUCACAUUAAUUUCCAUAUUGUAUAAACGACUGGAAAAAACUUGAGCCCCUGCCCCUGUAUAAUCAUGUGCAUGUCUCUGUUCUAGCUCCAAGGUGAAUCUUCACUGCUCAUGUUCUCCUCAGAAGCACUCACCUCACUCCCCUCAGGUUACUGUACACAUGCACCAACUGCCUGCUUCAGGUUUGGAUGGAGCUUCAUGGUUGUCUUUUGGAGAAAUGACCAGUCAAGUUGUGUUUGAAAUUUGAUUUUUUUCAGGGGCAAAAGGAGCCUCUGCAUUCUUGUCAAAUAUGUAAAUAGCAUGUUUUUGCAGGUGCUAAAAACCAGACUCUGAGUGUGUGUGUGUGUGUGUGUGUGUGUGUGUGUGUGUGUGUGUGUGUGUGUGUGUGCGUGUGUGUGUGUCUGUGUGUGCGUUCAAGUCACAUGACAUAUUUAACCGGAUGUAGCUGCAAGACGGAGCCUCGUUGACUCUCCGUUUCAACUUAUCUCAAAAGUGAGGACCUCAACCUAUAUACCAGUUUUUAAAUUGUGUUGAUAGGCCAAAUAAAACCAGAGUUAUGAUAAAUUAUGUCCGCGAUACUUUUUUCUGCUUAUUUUGAUCACGUUCGGCGCUCGAUCGCGCUGUAUGAGACAGGAAAACAUAGCAUGCAGACAUUAGCGACAGGUCUUACAGGCGGAAAAGGCUUGCCAAAAGAAAAAAAAAACACACCACAACAUCUCUCCUAUUGGUGGAAAACUUCACCACAACAACCAAUCCAAAAUUAUAUGGUGACUGAUUGACAAGGGGCGGGUGCUUACGUUCUUCCUGCAACAUGAGAAGCGAGGGAGGGACUCUCAGCAGGGAUGCAGUCUGGGACACGUAGUUGCAAACCUAGCGACUUUGUUGUUAGAUUCAAUGACUUUUCAGACCCCCUAACGACUUUUUUUUAGAAAGAAAGGGACUUUUAUCGACUUCUUCUGGAGUUUAGAGACUCUGACAUGAAGCAGGCUUUCCUUACUGAGGAGUUAGCAACGCUGCUAAGGGUGCAGAGCCACACAUGCGCUCAGAGCUCUGCAUGGGAGACUGAAGCUGACAGAGCUGCAGCAGUUAGCAGGUUUCACCCUCAGAGACCACCAGGGGUUCAUGUUGAGGCAUUUUAAUUUUUUUUUUUUUGUGCCAUAGACACUGUCAGCACAAUCUGCAGUUACACUAACAAAAAUGCUGCAAAAAACAAAGAAUUAUGGAAAAAUUACACAUGGACUGACAUAGAGGAGGAUCUACACAAGUUUUUUACAUCAUGUUUUACAUCAUGCAUCAUUUACAUCAUGUUUUUUUGUAGUGGCAUAAAUAAAAAGUGACAUUUGUGAGACUAUACAGUGUUUUGUAAAUAAUUUUACAAAGAACGCCUGGGCCAUUGCCUGCAUUUUGAUGUAAAUAGAGGUAAAUCACUAUGUUCUUUGUUAAAAAUUUGCAUAUGUUUUGAAGUUUACAAUUUUUAUUUGAAGUUUAAGUUUUAAAAACAGUUCAUCACACAUAUUUGUGGUUUUCACAGUAAAAAUGUUACUUUUUUCCACUCGGAUUUUAUGUUUUGUGUGUGAAUUUGGGUCCAUUGUGUAAAUUCAGUAUGUCAACAUGAUAAAAUAACUGUAAAUUCGCACAGGUGAGGUUGUGCUGAAAAAAAUGAUACCAGGCAAGGCACGUGAUUGUCAAAUUUUGUGUCAAUAUGACAAAGCGUAUAGGCGUGAAUCUCAACAAUAUGUAUUUUCACCUUAGGGGACAAGAAAAAAUGGACUUUUUUCUCCUGCCAUCGGGGGGCGCUCUUUUGGGGAGUAAAAAUUCCUUCACAAAUGUGUUGAUGGCUGGACAUUGCAUCAUCCUAGAAAACUUGGAGGCCAGUGAGGACAAAAAUAAAAAGUUAUAAGACUUUUAAAUAUGUGGAUUUUAGGGUUAUCUUUGGCGCCCCCUAGAACCUAAACCGUGGGGUGCAGCGUCAUGAUUUGAAUAACUUUUAAUGGCCAUGGGGUGUAGAUUGGCCUGAGCAAAUGUGGUGCCGGUGGAACGAAAGCCUUAGGAGGAGUUAGCCACAUUCCAAUGUGUGCAGAUCGGCAAAAAAUGCGAAAUAACCCUUUAACCAUACAUUUGACAGAUACGCGCGCAUUGACUUUUUCGUAGAUCUUAUUGAGUUACAUGUGUGUGUCAAUUUUUGUGUCAUUUUGACAAAGCGUAUAGGCGUGACACUCAACAAUGUGUAUUUUCACCUUAGGGGACAAGAAAAAAUGGACUUUUUUCUCCUGCCAUGGGGGGGCGCUCUUUUGGGGAGUAAAAAUUCCUUCACAAAUGUGUUGAUGGCUGGACAUUGCAUCAUCCUAGAAAACUUGGAGGCCAGUGAGGACAAAAAUAAAAAGUUAUAAGACUUUUAAAUAUGUGGAUUUUAGUGUUAUCUUUGGCGCCCCCUAGAACCUAAACCUUGGGGUGCAGCGUCAUGAUUUUGAUAACUUUUAAUGGCCACGCGGUGUAGAUUGGCCUGAGCAAAUGUGGUGCCGGUGGAACGAAAGCCUUCGGAGGAGUUAGCGAAAUUCCAAUGUGUGCGGAUCGGCAAAAAAUGCGAAAUAACCCUUUAACCGUACAUUUGACAGAUACGCACGCAUUGACUUUUUCGUAGAUCUUAUUGAGUUACAUGUGUGUGUCAAUUUUUGUGUCAUUUUGACAAAGCGUAUAGGCGUGACAAUCAACAAUGUGUAUUUUCACCUUAGGGGACAAGAAAAAAUGGACUUUUUUCUCCUGCCAUGGGGGGGCGCUCUUUUGGGGAGUAAAAAUUCCUUCACAAAUGUGUUGAUGGCUGGACAUUGCAUCAUCCUAGAAAACUUGGAGGCCAGUGAGGACAAAAAUAAAAAGUUAUAAGACUUUUAAAUAUGUGGAUUUUAGGGUUAUCUUUGGCGCCCCCUAGAACCUAAACCUUGGGGUGCAGCGUCAUGAUUUUGAUAACUUUUAAUGGCCACGGGGUGUAGAUUGGCCUGAGCAAAUGUGGUGCCGGUGGAACAAAAGCCUUCGGAGGAGUUAGCGAAAUUCCAAAGUGUGCGGAUCGGCAAAAAAUGCGAAAUAACCCUUUAACCGUACAUUUGACAGAUACGCACGCAUUGACUUUUUCGUAGAUCUUAUUGAGUUACAUGUGUGUGUCAAUUUUUGUGUCAUUUUGACAAAGCGUAUAGGCGUGACACUCAACAAUGUGUAUUUUCACCUUAGGGGACAAGAAAAAAUGGACUUUUUUCUCCUGCCAUGGGGGGGCGCUCUUUUGGGGAGUAAAAAUUCCUUCACAAAUGUGUUGAUGGCUGGACAUUGCAUCAUCCUAGAAAACUUGGAGGCCAGUGAGGACAAAAAUAAAAAGUUAUAAGACUUUUAAAUAUGUGGAUUUUAGUGUUAUCUUUGGCGCCCCCUAGAACCUAAACCUUGGGGUGCAGCGUCAUGAUUUUGAUAACUUUUAAUGGCCACGGGGUGUAGAUUGGCCUGAGCAAAUGUGGUGCCGGUGGAACGAAAGCCUUCGGAGGAGUUAGCAAAAUUCCAAUGUGUGCGGAUCGGCAAAAAAUGCGAAAUAACCCUUUAACCGUAAUUUUGACAGAUACGGCCGCACUGACUUUUUUGUAGAUCUUAUUGAGAUACAUAUGUGUGUCAAUUUUUGUGUCAAUAUGACAAAGCGUACAGGCGUGACAAUCAAUAGUGUGAAUUUCCACCUUAGGGGGCGCUAUGGAGCCAUUUUGCAUUUUAUUGUUUGGGCGACUUCAGAAUAUCGAAUUUUUCACCAGGCCCGGUCGUCCUGCCAAAUUUCAUGAGUUUUCGCCAGUGGGAAGUGGGCCAUUUUCCAGUUCAAAGGGGAGGAAAAAGAAGAAAGAAAGAAAGAAAGAAAGAAACAAAGAAAAACCACUUGGGGAAUAAUAGGGCCUACGCCCGGCUGCUCUGCAGCUGGCUCGGGCCCUAAAUAGCCCUUUAACCGUACAUUGAACAGAUACGCUCGCAAUGACUUUUUCGUAGAUCUUAUUGAGAUACAUGUGUGUGUCAAAUUUUGUGUCAUUUUGACAAAGCGUAAAGGCGUGACAGUCAACAAUGUGUAUUUUCGCCUUAGGAGACAAGAAAAAAUGGACUUUUUUCUCCUGCCAUGGGGGGGCGCUCUUUUGGCGAGUAAAAAUUCCUUCACAAAUGUGUUGAUGGCUGGACAUUGCAUCAUCCUAGAAAACUUGGAGGCCAGUGAGGACAAAAAUAAAAAGUUAUAAGACUUUGAAAUAUGUGGAUUUUAGGGUCCUCUUUGGCGCCCCCUAGAACGUAAACCGUGGGGUGCAGCGUCAUGAUUUUUACAACUUUGAAUGGCCAUGGGGUGUAGAUUGGCCUGAGCAAAUUUGGUUUCACUGGGACGAAAGCCUUAGGAGGAGUUAGCCACAUUCCAAUGUGUGCGAAUCAGCAAAAAAUGCAAAAUAGCCCUCUAACCGUACAUUUGACAGAUACGCACCCAUUGACUUUUUCGUAGAUCUUAUUGAGAUACACGUGAUUGUCAAAUUUUGUGUCAAUAUGACAAAGCGUACAGGUGUCACACUCAACAAUGUGAAUUUUCACCUUAUGGGACAAGAAAAAAUGGACUUUUUUCUCCUGCCAUGGGGGGGGCGCUCUUUUGGGGAGUAAAAAUUCCUUCACAAAUGUGUUGAUGGCUGGACAUUGCAUCAUCCUAGAAAACUUGGAGGCCAGUGAGGACAAAAAUAAAAAGUUAUAAGACUUUUAAAAAUGUGGAUAUUUGGGUCAUCUUUGGCGCCCUCUAGAACGUAAACCGUGGGGUGCAGCGUCAUGAUUUGUACAACUUUCAAUGGCCAUGGGGUGUAGAUUGGCCUGAGCAAAUGUAGUGCCGGUGGAACGAAAGCCUUCGGAGGAGUUAGCGAAAUUCCAAUGUGUGCGGAACGGCAAAAAAUGCGAAAUAACCCUUUAACCGUACAUUUGACAGAUACGCCCGCACUGACUUUUUUGUAGAUCUUAUUGAGAUACAUGUGUGUGUCAAUUUUUGUGUCAAUAUGACAAAGCGUAUAGGCGUGACAGUCAAUAGUGUGAAUUUUCACCUUUGGGGGCGCUAUUGAGCCAUUUUGCAUUUUCUUGUUUGGGCGACUUCAGAAUAUCGAAUUUUUCACCAGGCCCGGUCGUCCUGCCAAUUUUCAUGAGUUUUCGCCAGUGGGAAGUGGGCCAUUUUCCAGUUUAAAGCGGAGGAAAAAUAAUAAUAAUAACAAACUAGGGCCCCGUUGGGGCACUGGCGGGCCCGAGCUGUGUCGCCACCCCCCCCCCCCCCCCCAACGCGCUGCCUCCCCGUCCCAUUCGCGUCCUCUGGCCAUCGUCCUCUCUGGUAACGCCCAUCACUGCAAAGACCCUUUUCCUUCAUCGGCGUUUGCUGUUCUUCCUGCCAGUGCGUGUUGCUUUCACUUACACUUGCCACAGCCAGCCUCGUGAGUGCCUAGCCUAUUGGAUAUCACUGUCACCUACACAGGACAGUCAUUACCUUUCUAUUAAUACUUUGUUUUUUAAUUUCACAUUAAUUUCCAUAUUGUAUAAACGACUGGAAAAAACUUGAGCCCCUGCCCCUGUAUAAUCAUGUGCACGUCCCUGUUCUCGCUCCAAGGUGAAUCUUCACUGCUCAUGUUCUCCUCAGAAGCAGUCACCUCACUCCCCUCAGGUUACUGUACACAUGCACCAACUGCCUGCUUCAGGUUUGGAUGGAGCUUCAUGGUUGUCUUUUGGAGAAAUGAGCAGUCAAGUUGUGUUAGAAAUUUGAUUUUUUUCAGGGGCAAAAGGAAGCCUCUGCAUUGUUGUCAAAUAUGUAAAUAGCAUGUUUUUGCAGGUGCUAAAAAACAGACUCUGAGUGUGUGUGUGUGUGUGUGUGUGUGUCUGUGUGUGUGUGUGUCUGUGUGUGUGUAUCCUGCAGUACUCUGUACUCCUGCAGUGGCCAAAACGACUUUUAAGAAUGUGGAUAUUUGGGUCAUCUUUGGCGCCCCCUAGAACGUAAACCAUGGGGUGCAGCGGCAUGAUUUUUACAACUUUGAAUGGCCAUGGGGUGUAGAUUGGCCUGAGC